rnacentral:rRNA from 1 species
CCUACGGGCGGCAGCAGUCGAGAAUCAUUCACAAUGGGGGAAACCCUGAUGGUGCGACGCCGCGUGGGGGAAUGAAGGUCUUCGGAUUGUAAACCCCUGUCAUGUGGGAGCAAAUUAAAAAGAUAGUACCACAAGAGGAAGAGACGGCUAACUCUGUGCCAGCAGCCGCGGUAAUACAGAGGUCUCAAGCGUUGUUCGGAAUCACUGGGCGUAACGCGUGCGUAGGCUGUUUCGUAAGUCGUGUGUGAAAGGCGCGGGCUCAACCCGCGGACGGCACAUGAUACUGCGAGACUAGAGUAAUGGAGGGGGAACCGGAAUUCUCGGUGUAGCAGUGAAAUGCGUAGAUAUCGAGAGGAACACUCGUGGCGAAGGCGGGUUCCUGGACAUUAACUGACGCUGAGGCACGAAGGCCAGGGGAGCGAAAGGGAUUAGAUACCCGAGUAGUC